UUUUUUAAAAAACGCGCGCAGUACAAGUACCGUGAGGAAAGUUGCAAAGCACUUUGAAGAGAGAGUUAAAGAGGACGUGAAACCGAUGAGGUGGAAACGGACAGAGCCGGCGUAUCUGGUCUGCAUUCACCCGUUUGUUGUUGGGCAUUGGGCUGUCAGCUUCCAGACUGGGGCGGUGGUUCAUUUGUCCUGCGGCUUAUGGGGCAUUGCAGGCGGAGUGCGCUGAGAUGCUCGGGGCAGCUGCAUGAGCCUGGCUUUGAGGCCAGCCCUCGGGCUGGUACCCGGGCUGGGGGAGUGCUGUUUGUUCUGGGUGUAUGUGUGUGAUGGUCACGGGUUCGUGCUGGUUCGAGCUGGCGGUCGGUGGCGGUCGCUUGCGACACGUACCAGCAGUUAGUUCGGUCCGGUUCGGGCUCUCAUUGCAUGUUCUCGGUGUAAAAGCCGGUUAUCUGUUUGACCCGUCUUGAAACACGGACCAAGGAGUUUAGCGUAUGCGCGAGUCAUUGGGUGUUGAAAACCUAAGGGCGUAAUGAAAGUAAAGGUGUCCUUGCGGAACUGAUGUGUGAUCCUGAGCACUUCGGUGCGAGGGCGCAACAUAGUCCCGUCUCGAUCGCUUGCGAUGGGGCGGAGACAGAGCGUAUGCGCUGAGACCCGAAAGAUGGUGAACUAUUCCUGAGCAGGAUGAAGCCAGAGGAAACUCUGGUGGAAGUCCGAAGCGAUUCUGACGUGCAAAUCGAUGUCUGACUUGGGUAUAGGGGCGAAAGACUAAUCGAUCCAUCG
rnacentral:rRNA from 1 species